ensembl:lncRNA
CACAGACACGCCCUUAAACGAAACCUCAAGAUCUUCGCAAUUUAACAUCGCAAAGGCCUUUAGAUUACACAGACAAAGUUUGGUGUUGAUCUGAAUAAAUCUCUAGGAGGAGUUCGUUAAAGUACAACCCCUGAAAAUGGCAAAAACUACACAAAUUUUGCAGAGAAAAUUCAAAAUAACUGACUUCCUGUUGGGAUUCGAAUUUCAUACCAAGAGACUUUUUUGUAGGUAUUGGUGUGUUACAUGUGUGUACCGAUUUUUGUACAUGUACGUGAAACGUAGCUCGAGGCGCACUCCGUUGAAAAUGUAUAGGUGGCGCUAUCGAGGCAUUUUGCCACACCCGAUGGAAUAUUGGCCUUCAGAUUUGUUCAGGCCAGGACUCUUAUCGAACAUGUGAAGUUUGGGCAAGAUUGGACAUUUUAUGCCUGAGUUACAAUAACUUUUAUUCCCAUGGCGAGACAUCGAACUUUGUGACGGCGCCAUGGACACGCCCUUUAACGAAAACUCAAGAUCUUCACAAUUUAACAUCGCACAGGCCUUUAGAAUAGAGUGACUGAAAAAACAUUUAUGUCAUAAAAUUUCUCGGGGUAGUUUGUUACAGUGUAAAAUAUGUCACUUCCUGUUGCCAGUAG